rnacentral:rRNA from 1 species
UAAUGCCUAGGAAGCUGCCUGGUAGUGGGGAUAACGCUCGGAAACGGACGCUAAUACCGCAUACGUCCUACGGGAGAAAGCAGGGGACCUUCGGGCCUUGCGCUAUCAGAUGAGCCUAGGUCGGAUUAGCUAGUUGGUGAGGUAAUGGCUCACCAAGGCGACGAUCCGUAACUGGUCUGAGAGGAUGAUCAGUCACACUGGAACUGAGACACGGUCCAG